rnacentral:rRNA from 1 species
GAUGAACGCUGACAGAAUGCUUAACACAUCAGCAAUUGAUUGGUGGCGGACGGGUGAGUAACGCGUAAAGAACUUGCCUCACAGGUAGGGACAACAUUUGGAAACGAAUGCUAAUACCUAAUACUGUGAGAGAGCUUUGCGUCCCAUUAGCUAGUUGGAGAGGUAACGGCUCACCCAGGCGAUGAUGGGUAGCCGGCCUGAGAGGGUGAUCGGGCGCAAGGGGCCAGAGACACGGGCCUGACGCCAACGGGAGGCAGCAGUGGAGAAUCGUGGACAAUAGACCGAAGUCUGAUCCAGCGAUUCUGGGUGCACGAUGAAGUUGUCGGAAUGUAAAGUGCUUUGAGUUGGGAAUCGGUACCUGCAGAAGAAGUGACGGCUAAAUACGUGCCAGCAGCCGCGGUAAUAC